CUGCCCUCUGGGUUCCCAUGGGUUUUGGCCAGUGUUGUCAGACAGCCGGUCGUCAGGGGGCGGGGAAGAGACCUGCUCCCUCCUCUGCCCCCCAGGCCUGAGGUCACGCUGCUACUGUUGGACUUCCUUAUCUUUCUUUCCCUUCGUUGCUGGGUCUGCAGCCCUGCCGCACCUCCGUAAAUGGCUCCUGGCACCCUUCCUCCCUCCCUCUCCUCCCUGCCGGGCCAUCUCUUUCCCGCCAGACCUCUGACUCAUCUAGAUGGGCUUGGAGAUUGUGCCAGGCCCUGGCUGACGCUUCAAGGCCUGGAUGGGUGCCGUCGCUUCUCUGGACAGCAGCUCAAAGGGGAGGCAGGAAGGAGGCAGACCAGAGAUAAUUCAGCGCGGGAGGACCAGCCAACGUCAGCCCAUCCACUGCUCGCCGGUCAAUAAAUCUCGGCGCCAAGGCGUUUCUCUGCAUCUGUCAACGCGGCUGCUGGGGGACAGAACAGGCCUCCGCAGGCCGGUGGCAUUUAGAGGCGUCGCAGAGCGGGGAGGUGCGUCAUCUCCACAAUUGAUGCCGGGCUUGGGUGAGCCUCUUCCCGCGAGGAGGCUGCGGCCGGGGUCUCAAAGGCACAGGAGACAGAGGGCAGGGGCUGCCCGAAUGUGUGACUGUGUGUGCACACACAUGGGUGAGCAUGUAUAAUGUGUGUGCAUGUAUCAUUGUGCACAUGGGGUGUGUGAGCACGUGGGGUGUGCGUGCACCUGUGAGCAUGUGUGUACAAGAGCGUGAUGUGCACCAGUGUGCGUGUGGGGUGUGUCAGCACGUGUAGGGGGAACCGGCUGUAUGCAUGCAUGAGAGGGGAGUGUGUGCAUGUGCGUGCAGCGUGUGAGUGUGUGUGCACACACAGGGUCCCAGUGCAGCACAGGCUGGUGUGGCUCUCCAGCGCCUCUUCCGGGCCGUGGGGAGUCUUCUCCUCUUCCCCGUUUUCUCUGGGGGAUGCGGAGAGCAGCCCUUGUCCUAUGGGCUCCGUGAGGAGCGUCCAAUGACGUGGAAGGUGGACGAGGGUGGCUCAGCGGCAGCAGGCCCAGCUAUCUCCUGCCUCCACAAUGGACAGCUCAGGGUGCUUGGGAGCUUCUGGCUAGCUCUCCCAGCAGCGGCUUCCGUGACACAGGCGGAGGCGGCUCAUCUGCACGUGAUUGUGUCACCAGCAUGGGCCUUGCACCCACCAGCUGCUCCCCGCAGGGUGGUCGGAGCACACCGCCUGCUGGCGCCCUUACUGGGAGGGCCCGGCCCCGAGCCUGCCACCUGCUGCUGUUCAGGGCUAGAUGCCCCAAGCCGCUGAGCCGUAAGCUCCUGCCCAGGUGCCAGGACCUCUGCACACAGACCCUCCCAGGGCCUGUCCUGAUUCCGGACUUUCUUUGCAACACGGGUGCUGGGAGGGGAAGGGACCUCCUGGAGGCUGGGCCCAGGCCUGCAUCACGGAAGCCCUUCCUGGGCUGGCACCACCGGGGCCCGGCCAACUUCCCUUGCAGAUCCUUGCCACCAGCCUGAAUUCUUUCUUUAAAAAUAACUACAGAGUGUGAGAACCAGUAAUUAGAGGUCGCGCUUUCAGCUCUUCUCAGUGAGCUGAACGGGAGACGCCGGGGUCGGCAUCCCACCCAGGCUGCAGGCGGUUGGGGAGAUGGCAGAUGGGAAGACGGCG
rnacentral:lncRNA from 1 species